rnacentral:lncRNA from 1 species
UUGCUCUUCCUUGUGUUUAUCAUUGCUUUUACAAUAGGUUUAUUUUCUUUUCCUUUUAGAUCUGUAUACUGGCUUAUAUAAGUGAUUGCUUUCCAAGUGUGAUUUCCUCCAUCCCAUUAUUUCUCUUUCUUUUUUUAUAGAGGAGACCUUUCAGCAUUUAUUUUAGAACUGGUUUAGUAUUGCUGAACUCUUUUAGUUUUUCUUUGUUGGAAAAAUUCUUUAUUUCUAUUUUAAAUGAUAUUUUUGCUGGGUAGAGUAUUCGAGGUGCAAUUUUUUCCUUUUAGAACUUAGAGUAUAUCUUGCCACUCUCUUCUGGCCUGUAGUGUUUCUGUAGAGAAGUCAGCUGAUAGCCUAAUGUUGGUCCCCUUAUAAUUAAUUCUUUGUUUUUAUCUUUCUACCUUUAGAAUCCUCUCUUUAACUUUUGCCCUUUUAAUUACAAUGUCUUGUUGUGGGCUUCUUUGGGUUCAACUUAUUUGGGGCCUUUUGUGCUUCCUGUAUCUUGAUAGCUGUUUCUUUUAUAUUUGGAAAGUUUUUGGCCAUAAUUUCUUCAAAUAUAUUUUCAAUCCUCUUUUCCUUUUCUUCUCCUUCUGGAAUCCCUAUUAUGCAUAGUUUGGCCCGCUUUGUAUUAUCCCAUAGACCUCUUGUAUUGCUUUCAUGUUUUUUUCACUUAGUUUUCUGUCUGCUCUUCUGAUUGGGUGAUUUAAAUUAUUCUAUCUUCCUAGUCAUUAAUUCAUUCCUCUGCAUUAUCCAUUCUAAUUUUCAGUGGCUUUAACUCAUGGUGUUUAUCUGCAAAUGAAUUUUCUAAUUUUCCUUGGCUUCUCCUUAUAUUUUCUAAUUCCUUUCUAAAGUAAUCUUCAUUGUUGUUCAUUUCCCUCUUAAUUUCUUCAUAUUCACUCAAUUCCUUCAGUAUUUUUACUAUUUCCUUUUUGAACUCAGUGUCUGUUAGAAUACAGAGGUCUGUUCCAUUAUUUGCUCCUUCAGGUGAAUUCUCCUAUUCUUUUAACUGGGAACGGUUUCUGAGUUUCUUCAUAUUGUUUACAUUUUUCUUAUUAUGUGGGUUAAGGGAAAACAACUACUGUAGUGUUGAAGGGCUAUUUAAAUGCAUGAGACCUCUGGGUAUUUUGUUAGAGCUUACUUUUUAUUUCUAGGGUGGUAUGCAUGCUUCCAAGAAGAUGGAGGCAAUUGGUAGGGCUAGUAGGCAGUGCCUGGUUGCUGGGCCCUUGGCAGUAGCAAAGCCCUAUGGGAAGGUGGCACAGGCUGCUCCUAGUUGCAGGGCCCUUGGAAGUAACAGUGAUCAUGGGGGUAUAGGUGGUGCCCAGACUAUUUGGCAGUGGUAGCAGCAGGGUGGGUACAAUCCCAGGAGAACUAGAGCAACAACAGUUGGUGCUCAGCUGCAGUGCCCUCUUCUUUGCUGACCUCUGAGGUGCCUGGGGAUGCAGGUGGUGUCUGUUCAUAGACCCCACAUGGUGUCAUACCCUGCCCACCUCUGUCCUCCCCUGGAAUUGACCUCUGGAGCCUGAGUCUCAGUGCCCCGCCCGACCCAAGCAUCUCAGGCUGUGGUGUCCAGGAUCAGUGGUACUAAUGGUCUUUGCAGCUCUCACUCUGCUUUGCCCUCCUCAAUCCAGUUGCUGCACUUUUCUUCAUGAUGUUGAGGGCCCUCCAUCUCAGUUGAUCUUGUUGGUUAGGUGCUUUCCAGGGUGCGGGUUCUUUUCCUCUUUAGCACAUCCCUCUCAGGAUUGCUAGUCCCAUCCUGAUUCCUUUUCUCUCUUUCUCUCUUCUUUUUGUUCUACACAGUUAUGUGGAUGAUUUCUCAGCCUUUUUGGAAGUUUAAGUUCUGCCAGUGUUCAGUAGAUGUUCUGUGCAAAUCAUUUUGUUUUUUGAUGUGUUUGCAGGAGAAGGUAAGUGCCACAUCUUAUUCCUCCACCAUCUUGAUCCUUCUCCAGAACUAAUAAUAUAUUUAUGAGGCAGCCUGUUAAAAUAGAAAUUUAUGCUUAAUAGUGAAGUGGACAAUUUGGGUUUGAAUAUGAGUUCCAACAGUUUCUGGCUGUUACAUUCUUCACAAAUUUCCUCUCAUUCUUACUUUCUCAAUUCUCCAAUCUAUAAAAUGGGGACAACAAAAGAAGCCACACAAGGUUGUGUAGUUUUCUAUUUUGGAAGAGGUAGUCACAGUUCAGUUCAGCCUUAUCAAGAAGGGACAGAGAAAAUACAUAAAAAUUUUGUAAACAUGUUUUCUUAUGGGUAACUUCUAAGAUAAUUAGAAUAGUUAGUUCUAUUUUAAUCUCAUAAUAAAAUAAACUGUAAGAAAUGUUUUUAUAUCUAGAAUUUACACUGUGUAUUCUUUGGCCUUGAAUUAUAAAGCAUAUCAUGUUGCAAGGAAAAAAGGACUGACAUUUUCUUGAGAACUUUGAAGAUAGUAGCUAAUUCAUGACACUCAAAAACCACUUAGCAUUAUAUACUAAAAUCCUUUUGGCAGGAAGAAAUGGAUCAUAUACAUUAUUCUACUUACAAGUUUAUCAGCCACAAAUAUAAGAGAGUAACUGGGGUUUAAUGUACACAAAUAAAACAUUUGCCUAUAUUUAAUCUAUGUAAAUAAUACAAAAUGUGGACUAGAUCUGCACAUAUUGAUAAUAUGUUUUUUAAACUCAGGAAAUACUUUUUUUAGAAGUUAUAACAAAAACAGUUAUUUUUAAUGUUAAAGUGAAAGAAUGCUAUGUGAUAUAAAUUUAGAAAAUGUAUUAUUUAAAUUGAAAGAAAGAAAAAAAUGAAUCAAUAUAGAGCCACAUUAGAACUGUUUACUUGGGUAAAUAUCUGCUUUAUAAAACAAUUGUUAACUAUGGAAUCAUUUGUCAAAACAAAAUCUCAGAAGUUUCCAAUAUUAAACAGAUAAAAAUCAGCUCUGGUUGAAAGUGUUGGUAGGAAGCAGGAAUACCUUUUCCACUGCUCUCCCUGACCCCCCAAACAUACCUGCUGAAUAUCUCCCCAUAAAUCUGGAAAAACAGAGAUGAAGGCAUUGAUUCCUUACCACCUCCUCCUGCUCAAGAUACCUUUGCCUCCUAUAAAGAGUAAGUCAUUGAGCGAAAGCACAGCUCUUCAGGUGAAUUACUAACUUAGGAUGGAUGAUGUCUCUAAACAAAAAGCACAUGAAAAAUACAGGUUGAGGUAUUUAAAGUUGGAUGAAUAAGUUUGGAGUGUAGAUCAUAGCUCAGUAAAGCAAUGCUUGGCUUCUCUACUAAAGAAACUGCUCAGCCCUUGGUGGUGCUGAAUAGUAACAUUAGCUGGGAGCUGGAAGCAAGUGGCAAUAAAAUUGAGAUGAAGAGGAACAAAACAUAACCUACCACACUGUCAUAAAAUGAUUCUUCUGGAAGUGAAUGUAUAAUUAUCUAGUCUAGGGGUCUUCUACAUUUUUAUAUCAUGGAUUCCUAUCAUUUAACUUUUCUCAGUUUAUACUCUCUGAACAUAUGCAGAAUUAUGUGUUAUAUCAGUGUAUUAUAUUACUAAAAGUUUCACAACAUAAAAGAAAUAAAAACAGAACUUAGUAUGAGAUAAAAAUACAUAUAUGGAAAAGGUCUUUCUUCCAUUUCCUAACUGGAGACAACUGCUUAGUAUUUUCACGUCAUGUUGAUCUUGUACCUUCUAUUGAGACAACGGUAAAAGGAAUAGUUUGGAGGAGAUUAGCACUAUCAGUGAUGGCAGAUUUCAGUUUUAAUCUCCUAAGAUAAGUAUAAUAUAAGAAUGUUAUGAGAUUCAUAGUGACAUUUUAAAUAAUAGUGCUAACAGAUCUUAUAUACUUUAUUCUAAAAUUACAUAGUAUGUUUUGGUGGAGGAUUAAAGCUCUAAUCAUUAAAGAACAUCUUUAAAUUUGCUUUAAGCUGAGUCGACUAAGGCAGGUUGGUCUUGAUUUUUAUUUUAUUUUAGUGUGGAUAAGUUUAUUUUAAUUAUCAUCAGAAACCAUCUUGCAAAAUUAUUUCAACUCAAAUUAGAGAUAUUUGUAUAGGAUGACUAUACAUAAAAAACAAUUUAUAUGACACACUGAAAUCAUAAUGUAUUUUUUGAAUGCUAAGUGACAGAAUUAUAAAAAAUAUUAAAAAAAUUUAUUUUUGUGGUGUGUAAUUCAGAGCUCAGAACUUUUCAAAUAAGUUAUUGCUCCUCUCUCUCAGACAAGAAGUUAUUGCUCCUCUCCUCUCACUUAUGGGUGAUAUUUUCUACUGGAAGUAGAGGAAAGGGUGACAUAUUAACAAUGGACUGUAGAAUCUCCAACCUUUUUAAAAAAUCUCUUCAAUUUCAUUUGGUCAUUCUGCCCUUUUUAAAACUAUUAGAGGUGUUUUGCAUUAACUUUACAUCAUUUAACACCAAUAAGAUUAUAGAACAUAAAUGUCCAAGUAAACAGUGUUUUUGCCAUAUUUUGGAAGAAAUAAAAGUAAAAAUUUCCAUUUUAAUGCUUGUGCAUUUGCCGUCUUUUGCUGACAAAGCCAUAUGUAAAUUAUUGGAAUUUGAUUUUUUUCCAGCUAUUCAUGGGGCAUGUGAUCUACCUUAUAAAUACGAAUUCUUGAAGACUAUAUAUGUAGCAGGGAAUGAUACUCUUAGAUUUAGAGUAAACUUUUUUCCAGAAGAAAAAAGUAAGCAAACAUUAAAUAAAGUUUAAAAAAAAAGAUUAAAUAAAAAAUACAAG